AAAGAAUGCAGUUGCCAUCCUCUGGGAAUAGAACCCGAAGUCCUCUGCAGCCAUCGAAGCUGGGGAAUGCUGAACGUUAUUAUUGCCAAGCAAGAUUUCUCCAACUCUUUUACUAUGAUCAUAGAUCUUGGGGUCAUUUAUAGUUGGUGGAUAUGGCCUCAUUUCCUCCAUGAAAUUGACAGUGGCAGAACACUGAUGUACGCCAGCUUGAGUCUCGAUUAUCUCUUUGAUUCUCUGCUUAAGAUAGGAAUAUCCUUCUAAUGUCAUGAACCGGAAGGUGCCACCAAACCUUACACUUUCGGGGAUUAGAA
rnacentral:misc_RNA from 1 species